UCGAACGGACCGCAAGGUCAGUGGCAGACGAGGUAGUAACACGUAAGUACGUACCCUGUAGUCUGGGAUAGCUCGUCGAAAGACGGGGUAAUACCGGAUGGUCCCGUAAGGGUAAAGUUUUUCGCUACAGGAGCGGCUUGCGUAAUAUCAGCUUGUUGGUGAGGUAAUGGCUCACCAAGGCUACGACGUUUAGGGGAGCUGAGAGGCUGACCCCCACCGAUGGGACUGAGACACGGCCCAU
rnacentral:rRNA from 1 species